CCUACGGGAGACAGCAGUGGGGGAUAUUGCACAAUGGGGGAAACCCUGAUGCAGCGACGCCGCGUGAGUGAAGAAGUAUUUCGGUAUGUAAAGCUCUAUCAGCAGGGAAGAAAAUGACAGUACCUGACCAAGAAGCCCCGGCUAACUACGUGCCAGCAGCCGCGGUACUACGUAGGGGGCAAGCGUUAUCCGGAUUUACUGGGUGUAAAGGGAGCGUAGACGGUUAUGUAAGUCUGGAGUGAAAGCCCGGGGCCCAACCCCGGGACUGCUUUUGAAACUGUGUAACUGGAGUACAGGAGGGGCAGGCGGAAUUCCUGGUGUAGCGGUGAAAUGCGUAGAUAUCAGGAGGAACACCGGCGGCGAAGGCGGCCUGCUGGACUGAAACUGACGUUGAGGCUCGAAAGCGUGGGUAUCAAACAGGAUUAGAUACCCCUGUAGUC
rnacentral:rRNA from 1 species